GGUUUCCUUCGGGGCAGGGUGAAAUUCCCUACCGGCGGUGAUGAGCGAAUGCUCUUAGUCCGUGACCCGGCUAAUACAUAUUAGACGGUGGAUUUGGUGAAACUCCAAGGCCGACAGUGAAAGUCUGGAUGGGAGAAGGAACGG
rfam:Bacillus vietnamensis strain TCD-SED5 scaffold_21, whole genome shotgun sequence.